UACAGAGGGGGCAAGCGUUGUUCGGAAUUACUGGGCGUAAAGGGCUCGUAGGUGGCCAACUAAGUCAGACGUGAAAUCCCUCGGCUUAACCGGGGAACUGCGUCUGAUACUGGAUGGCUUGAGUUCGGGAGAGGGAUGCGGAAUUCCAGGUGUAGCGGUGAAAUGCGUAGAUAUCUGGAGGAACACCGGUGGCGAAGGCGGCAUCCUGGACCAACACUGACGCUGAGGAGCGAAAGCCAGGGGAGCAAACGGG
rnacentral:rRNA from 1 species